UAGCCAUGCGAGUCGUGAGGGUUCGGCCCUCGGCGAACGGCUCAGCAACACGUAGAUAAUUUGCCCUUAGGUGGAGGAUACCCUCGGGAAACUGAGAAUAAUACUCCAUAGAUUUAGAAUGCUGGAAUGCUUUUAAAUUGAAAGAUUUAUCGCCUAAGGAUAAGUCUGCGGACUAUCAGGUCGUAGUUAGGGUAAAUACCUGACUAGCCUACGACGGAUACGGGUUGUGAGAGCACUAGCCCGGAGAUGAUAUCUGAGACACGAUAUCAGGCCCUACGGGGCGCAGCAGGCGCGAAAACUUCGCACUGUGCGAAAGCACGACGAGGGAAUCCCAAGUGCUGGCUCGUAAGAGUCAGCUGUUUCUUUGUCUAAAAAACAGAGAGAGUAAGAGCUGGGUAAGACGGGUGCCAGCCACCGCGGUAAUACCUGCAGCUCAAGUGGUGGCCGCUAUUAUUGGGCCUAAAACGUCCGUAGCCGGCUCUAUAAAUGCCUGGGUAAAUCGUACGGCUUAACCGUACGAAUUCCGGGUAGACUGUUCAACUUGGGACCGGGAGAGGCUAGAGGUACUCCUGGGGUAGAGGUGAAAUUCUGUAAUCCUAGGGGGACCACCAGUGGCGAAGGCGUCUAGCUAGAACGGGUCUGACGGUGAGGGACGAAGCCCUGGGGAGCAAACGGGAUUAGAUACCCCGGUAGUCCAGGGUGUAAACGCUGCUCGCUUGAUGUUAGUCGGGCUCCGAGCCCAACUAGUGUCGGAGAGAAGUUGUUAAGCGAGCUGCCUGGGAAGUACGGUCGCAAGACUGAAACUUAAAGGAAUUGGCGGGGGAGCACCGCAACGGGUGGAGCGUGCGGUUUAAUUGGAU
rnacentral:rRNA from 1 species